rnacentral:misc_RNA from 1 species
GAAUCAUUUAUUCUCAGUAGAAAUCAAAAGAGAUUUGGUUGCUUAUUUGAGAAUCGUUAAUUUUUCCACAUGAUUACCAGGUCAAGAAAGAAUCAUUCGACUGUUCUCUCUUUGCCGGCGAAUAUUCCAAUCCGGCGAUAGACAAAACAGAGAUGACGAGUUGGACGCGUGUAAACAAGUCAAUGAAAUUCAUUUGUACGGCACCACGUUUAGAGAUGAC